UACGUAGGUGACAGCAGUUGUCCGGAUUUACUGGGCGUAAAGAGCGCGCAGGCGGUCGAUCAAGUCGAGUGUGAAAGCCCCCGGCUCAACUGGGGAGGGUCAUUCGAUACUGAUCGACUCGAAGGCAGGAGAGGGUAGUGGAAUUCCCGGUGUAGUGGUGAAAUGCGCAGAUAUCAGGAGGAACACCGGUGGCGAAGGCGGGUCUCUGGGCCGAUACUGACGCUGAGGAGCGAAAGCGUGGGGAGCGAACAGG
rnacentral:rRNA from 1 species